rnacentral:rRNA from 1 species
UACGGCGAGUGAAGCGGCAACAGCUCAAAUUUGAAAUCUGGCCCUUGGGUCCGAGUUGUAAUUUGUAGAGGAUGCUUUUGGUGAGGUGCCUUCCGAGUUCCCUGGAACGGGACGCCAUAGAGGGUGAGAGCCCCGUCUGGUUGGACACCGAGCCUCUGUAAAGCUCCUUCGACGAGUCGAGUAGUUUGGGAAUGCUGCUCUAAAUGGGAGGUAUAUGUCUUCUAAAGCUAAAUAUUGGCCAGAGACCGAUAGCGCACAAGUAGAGUGAUCGAAAGAUGAAAAGCACUUUGAAAAGAGGGUUAAAUAGUACGUGAAAUUGUUGAAAGGGAAGCGCUUAUGACCAGACUUGAGCCCGGUUAAUCAUCCAGCCUUCUGGCUGGUGCACUUGGCCGGCUCAGGCCAGCAUCAGUUCGGCGCGGGGGAUAAAGACUUCGGGAAUGUGGCUCCUCCGGGAGUGUUAUAGCCCGUUGUGUAAUACCCUGUACUGGACUGAGGUUCGCGCAUCUGCAAGGAUGCUGGCGUAAUGGUCAUCAGCGACCCGUCUUGAAACACGGACCAAGGAGUCGUCUUCGUAUGCGAGUGUUCGGGUGUCAAACCCCUACGCGUAAUGAAAGUGAACGCAGGUGAGAGCUUCGGCGCAUCAUCGACCGAUCCUGAUGUUCUCGGACGGAUUUGAGUAA